GUUCUCCAUCCCAUGAUGGAGCUAAGAUGGAAGCAGGUGUAAAUCCUGCACGGUCCCGCCACUGUAAUGGAGGAGCGCUUUUCAGAACGUCACUGAAGCCUAUAGACAUGCCGCAGAUUGCAUGCCGCUUUGGGAAGGCGAAAAGCGCGAAGAUACCUGAGUCAGGAGACAUGCAUA
rnacentral:ncRNA from 1 species